rnacentral:rRNA from 1 species
AGGUCUUGACAUCCUUUGAAGCUUUUAGAAAUAGAAGUGUUCUCUUCGGAGACAAAGUGACAGGUGGUGCAUGGUCGUCGUCAGCUCGUGUCGUGAGAUGUUGGGUUAAGUCCCGCAACGAGCGCAACCCUUAUUGUUAGUUGCCAGCAUUCAGAUGGGCACUCUAGCGAGACUGCCGGUGACAAACCGGAGGAAGGCGGGGACGACGUCAGAUCAUCAUGCCCCUUAUGACCUGGGCUACACACGUGCUACAAUGGCGUAUACAACGAGUUGCCAACCUGCGAAGGUGAGCUAAUCUCUUAAAGUACGUCUCAGUUCGGACUGCAGUCUGCAACUCGACUGCACGAAGUCGGAAUCGCUAGUAAUCGCGGAUCAGCACGCCGCGGUGAAUACGUUCCCGGGUCUU